rnacentral:rRNA from 1 species
GAUGAACGCUGGCGGCGUGCCUAAUACAUGCAAGUCGAGCGAACAGAUAAGGAGCUUGCUCCUUUGACGUUAGCGGCGGACGGGUGAGUAACACGUGGGUAACCUACCUAUAAGACUGGGAUAACUUCGGGAAACCGGAGCUAAUACCGGAUAAUAUUUCGAACCGCAUGGUUCGAUAGUGAAAGAUGGUUUUGCUAUCACUUAUAGAUGGACCCGCGCCGUAUUAGCUAGUUGGUAAGGUAACGGCUUACCAAGGCGACGAUACGUAGCCGACCUGAGAGGGGGAUCGGCCACACUGGAACUGAGACACGGUCCAGACUCCUACGGGAGGCAGGAGUAGGGAAUCUUCCGCAAUGGGCGAAAGCCUGACGGAGCAACGCCGCGUGAGUGAUGAAGGUCUUCGGAUCGUAAAACUCUGUUAUUAGGGAAGAACAUACGUGUAAGUAACUGUGCACGUCUUGACGGUACCUAAUCAGAAAGCCACGGCUAACUACGUGCCAGCCGCCGCGGUAA